GCUACAGCAGGUUAGGGCAAUAGUGGGGUUAGUCACAAUUUUAUGUAGAAAUUCCCCAAAACUGCUUAUUAUUUAUGCAAAGUUGUUUUGAGAAGAGGAAGGGCAAUCUUGGGCGAGAUUCAACCAAUUUCCAAAAAUUCCGUCGAUAAAGGUAAGUAAAUCACUCCCCCUACCUUGGUAUUGUGAUUCUUAGGCCUUCGAAUCCUUGUUGGGUAGCUUUAGGCGAGGGUUUGACUUGAAUUAAUGGUGGACAAACCUUGAUUUAGGUGGAAUGAUCACGAGGUUGAACUGGAGUUAGUAUUAAAUUGUAAUCCAGAUAUAAUUAAGCCAUGUUGUGUUAAUUUUGUGUUAUAUUAUUCGUCUUCGAGUCAGCUAGACCAUAUGUAGUUGUCUUACUCGCCACCUCGACACAUUCCCCUCUCUCCACAGUAUCGUCCCACACAGAAAAAAAGAGCGCAGAGCCCCGCUAACGUAAAGCGAGGAAUUGAGCCUGGACGGGUAAACUGUACCUACAAGGCAUCUCAUAUUUUAUUAUACCAUAGAACCUCAAAAAUUCAUUGAUUAAUGUCACAUAAACAUUCAGAUAGUUGAGAUCAGAUUAUCAGUGGAAUUCAUGUAGGAGGACUAAUAUGGAUAUUUAACGAUUGUUUUCGCUCGUUAGAACUAUAAUUAAUGUAUGAUGUUUAUACCUGUCGGGUUUAUAGGAGCCAUGUCAGGUUAUUGCUUGUUAUGUGUUUAUAUAGUCUUUUUAUAAGGAAGUAAGGUACUAUACUUGUGUUUCACCUCUGUACCUUUUGUUCAGUCCUUAUACUUCAAUUUUAGCUUUCAGUUUGUUUUACAUGUUCGGUAUAUUAUUUUGUAGUGAUGCCCUUUUUCUAGGGGCGCUGCAUUCAUGCCUUCAGGUUCUAAGCGACGAUCAGACAAGCCUGGCGAGUACCACAACCGACGACCUGACAUACCUUAUUAAAAAUAAUCUUAUGGUACCAACAACUAUCAUAACUUCAAUUAUUCUUUGGAAUAUAACAGAAAUAAAAAAAUAUUCAAUAACCCUCCUUCCAACCAACACACCUCUAUCAUUAAUAACAUUAGCUUUAUUUUCCUUGAGUUCUAUCAUCUUAUUUCAUCUACUCAAGUAUCAUCUCUCCAAAACACAUGCUUCAUGUAUCUUGACAAUUGGCAUCCACCUCUGGAUGGCUUCCUCAAAUUAAACAUUACUGGUUUUGAUCAAAAGUGGGAAUGGAGGCACAAGAUAAGUAAUACAAGAUCAUUUACGAACAUGGAUAGCUGGCUAUUCAUGCAACAUAAAAGCUGAAAAUUAAUGCUCAUCAUGCUGAACUCUUAGCCCUGCUAGAUUAGUUCCUUUUUGUACAUUCAUAAACAAAAUUUUAUAUACAUAUAAAAGUAAAAUCCUUCUGUUUUAAGAAGAAAAAAU
rnacentral:lncRNA from 1 species